GACGAACGCUGGCGGCGUGCUUAACACAUGCAAGUCGAACGCUGAAGCUUGGUGCUUGCGCUGGGUGGUUGAUUGGCGAACGGGUGAGUAAUACGUGAGUAACCUGCCCUUGACUCUGGGAUAAGCCUGGGAAACUGGGUCUAAUACUGGAUACGACAUGCCACUGCAUGGUGGUGUGUGGAAAGGGUUUUACUGGUUUUGGAUGGGCUCACGGCCUAUCAGCUUGUUGGUGGGGUAAUGGCCUACCAAGGCGACGACGGGUAGCCGGCCUGAGAGGGUGAGCGGCCACACUGGGACUGAGACACGGCCCAGACUACUACGGGAGGCAGCAGUGGGGAAUAUUGCACAAUGGGCGGAAGCCUGAUGCAGCGACGCCGCGUGGGGGAUGACGGCCUUCGGGUUGUAAACCUCUUUCAGCACGGAAGAAGCGAGAGUGACGGUACGUGCAGAAGAAGCGCCGGCUAACUACGUG
rnacentral:rRNA from 1 species